rnacentral:lncRNA from 1 species
ACCCCGCCCCUUGCAGUGCUGGGGAAAACCUUCUCUGCAGACGUCGGGAGAGCAGGAACACAUGUUUUCUAGUACUAAUGUCUAAUACAGGGCUGCAAUUGUUGGGUGUGCUCUAUCCGAAAGUUGAGAACUGUUUCCAGCUCAUCCAGGGCAGAAUGCCUGGUACGGGAAAAGCCAAUGUGAAAACCAGCUAUCUGAGUAGGUCAAACGGGUAA